CAUAUAAAGUUUAACUAGUCAGUGGCCAUACCCCCGUGAGCCAGACAUUACAUCAGGCAUCAUGGAACCGCCCUUUUCUACUCCAGAAUAAAAGGACUCGUCACAACAUAUACAUUUAGUCAAGAUAGGGAGUUCCCAUGUUGAAAUGGCUGGAACUCUGAAACUUUCAACAGAAAACAAGUACUACUCGAUGCCAAAGAGACCCAUAGUAAACCGGGCGUCUCGAAUGGUUAAGAAGACCAAAAAAUAUGGAGCUGACGCUACAUGUUGAAAUGGUUAAGAACUACAACUCUACCAAAGGAGAAGACCAGAGAACGUGGAGAUCAUUCCCACGUUGAAAUGGCGAAGAUAUCUACAAAGAAUAAUUAUUCAGACUGCAGCCGUUUAAAUACUUUAGUCUGGUAAAUGCAUCCGAUUCUAAGAACAAUUCAGAAUGGUACUUUGAAGUAUCAAUUCUAACUACGGCAGACUGUGACUUCUGGGGAACGCAACCAGAGACUUUUCUGUCAACUCUCUCCAGCAGAUGGACCGGCGACCACAGCGAGAGACAAGACAUACGCUCCUCAAUAUCAAACAUUCCAGCGCUGUCAUCAUCAAGGUGCAUCCCAUGGAAUGUCCUGAUCAGAUCAGUUCCCUGGGUAUCACAGACACUUCUGACACUCAAGAGUGCCCCAAGGUAAUCUGCUGUGGCUGAACCAAGACACUCCAUUGGGAUCAGUUAGAGCAUGGGUGACAGAGCAUGGGUCGUCCAUCUCCCAUCAACACU